rnacentral:rRNA from 1 species
GACGGAGGAUGCAAGUGUUAUCCGGAAUUACUGGGCGUAAAGAGCUCGUAGGUGGUUUGUCGCGUUGUCCGUGAAAUUCCCUGGCUUAACUGGGGGCGUGCGGGCGAUACGGGCAGACUGGAGUGCAGUAGGGGAGACUGGAAUUCCUGGUGUAGCGGUGAAAUGCGUAGAUAUCGGGAGGAACACCUGUGGCGAAAGCGGCUCACUGGACCAUUACUGACGCUGAUGCUCGAAAGCUAGGGGAGCAAACAGG